AGAACUUGAGGGAUGUCAGAUUUUGUCAGAAGAAAAUAUAGAAUGCUCUAUGCUUGCUGGAGAAAAGUACUCUUUUACACUCUCCAUCUUUGCAACAGGCAGAGCAAUACCUGAAGGUGCUUCUUCCCUAAGGAAAAAGGAAACAAGGCCACCUUGCUGGCGGGAGUGUUUGUGUAUUGAAAUCAUCAGUAGCUGAGACCUGAAUGAAUUCAAAUCCCUGAACACACAACCAGACCUUUGCUUCCUAAGGUUGUUCCUAUAUUUCGAGACCUAAAUUCUGCAAGAGCUUCCUCUGUAAUCCAUGGCACGUGUCUCC